UAAAUACUAAUACCAGAUCGAUAGUGCACAAGUACCGUGAGGGAAAGGUGAAAAGAACUGAGGUGAUCAGAGUGAAAUAGAACCUGAAACCAUUUGCUUACAAUCAUUCAGAGCCCUAUGUAGCAAUACAGGGUGAUGGACUGCCUUUUGCAUAAUGAGCCUGCGAGUUGUGGUGUCUGGCAAGGUUAAGCAAACGCGAAGCCGUAGCGAAAGCGAGUCUGAAUAGGGCGCUUAGUCAGAUGCUGCAGACCCGAAACGAAGUGAUCUAUCCAUGAGCAAGUUGAAGCUAGUGUAAGAACUAGUGGAGGACUGAACCCAUAGGCGUUGAAAAGCCCCGGGAUGACUUGUGGAUAGGGGUGAAAGGCCAAUCAAACUUCGUGAUAGCUGGUUCUCUCCGAAAUAUAUUUAGGUAUAGCGUUGUGUCGUAAUAUAAGGGGGUAGAGCACUGAAUGGGCUAGGGCAUACACCAAUGUACCAAACCCUAUCAAACUCCGAAUACCUUAUAUGUAAUCACAGCAGUCAGGCGGCGAGUGAUAAAAUCCGUCGUCAAGAGGGAAACAACCCAGACUACCAGCUAAGGUCCCUAAAUCUUACUUAAGUGGAAAACGAUGUGAAGUUACUUAAACAACCAGGAGGUUGGCUUAGAAGCAGCCAUCCUUUAAAGAAAGCGUAAUAGCUCACUGGUCUAGUGAUUUUGCGCGGAAAAUAUAACGGGGCUAAAGUAAGUACCGAAGCUGUAGACUUGCACACAA
rnacentral:rRNA from 1 species